ensembl:snoRNA SNORA54 small nucleolar RNA, H/ACA box 54
GAGCACUGUUCGUGACCUGUUAGUCUGGCUGUGGCUUACAGGUUCCAUUCCAGUGCUACAGGAGUUCCAACGACACAUGACUGACUGACUGGUGGCUCUCAGCUUCAGGUCUUGGAGACAAAG